UACGGGGGGAGCGACCGUUGUUCGGAAUCACUGGGCGUAAAGGGCGCGUAGGCGGGGAGGUAAGUCGGGUGUGAAAUCCCUCGGCCCAACCGAGGAACUGCGCCCGAGACUGCUUCUCUUGAGUCCCGGAGAGGAAGAUGGAAUUCCCGGUGUAGCGGUGAAAUGCGUAGAUAUCAAGAGGAACACCUGAGGUGAAGACGGGUUGCUGGGCUGACACUGACGCUGAGGCGCGAAAGCUAGGGUAGCAAACGGG
rnacentral:rRNA from 1 species